UGGGAAGAGAAGGUGAUGGUGAGAUGAGGACGCAUUAGGACUUGAGGAACACCACCUCUCCUCAGGAGUCGGCCUAUGAACAGUCGAGUUUCUGGUGUCACCGCAGCACCUCAUCUCCAGGCCAGGGGUCUGCUGCCCUGGGAACCUGUCCCUGCUUGCCAGCACUGCUGGGGCAGAGCAGGCAGCUCUAGGACUCACACAGGCUCUCAGUGGCUUUGUCUUUCAAAGCAGACCUCUACCUGCCCUGUGGUAUUUUGGUGUUACACAGCCAAUCUGCCAAAUGACCUUGUUUGCAUGGGGCAUAAUGGCUUCACUAGAAAUCCUCUUUCUCAGGAUGAAAGAUGCAUACAGGGGGAAAAUAAGAAAAUCCCAGUGCCUUUCCACACUUCCAUGCACCUGUGGUAAACUCCCCUUCCAAAGCACAACAUCCUCUCCUCCUUGGAGAAACACCAAGUCCAGCCUGCUUGUUCCUCGCCAGGGGCUACAGCCAGGCUUGAUGAUGCUGUAGCAGAGAUUGCACUCCAGCCCUCAUUUUCCCUUGGCAAGAGGACAGCCCCUCUACAGGCAUCUGAGGUAGAGUGUUGUGGCACAACUAGAGCCAGAUGGUCGGACUUAGAGACAUUUAUACCCACUGAGGGGUGGGCAUGGCUGGGGACCAUGCCCAGGCUCUACUCACACUCCUUUCCACCCAGCAGCUGACUAGCCAAGAGCCCAGUGCUGCCGGAGAACCAGCCCCUGUGGGGCCAGAGGAAGAACAGAACAAAACCUUCUCCUCGCCAGACCUCCCCACCGCUGCCUGAGGAUGCAGUGCUGCCAGGCCCGAGCACAUUUGACCUGCUGCUUGUCUCAAGUCGGUUCCCAAAUGGGCAUCCCGGAUCCAUGAUCCUGCUGUGGAGCCUGCACAUGGACAGACAUCCAUCCACAAGGGCAGCACUGCAAACGUUCACAUGGUUUGACCCCAGUUUAGUCACACCUCACGCACGCUGUGAUAGUGUUUGGUAAUGACGGCUGUUUCCUCAUUUCAUGUUAUUGUUCUUUAAGAGAGAGAGAGAGAGAAAUGCUUUUUACUUGUUCUCUAUUUCAGAGCCUCUUACUUCUGCUUUGUUCACUAAAAAUGGGGCCAGACAAAUUAACUGCAGCAAUAAAUAUUAUUUUUACUA